UACGGGGGGGGGCAAGCGUUUGUUCGGAAUUACUGGGCGUAAAGGGCUCGUAGGUGGCCAACUAAGUCGGACGUGAAAUCCCCAGGCUCAACUUGGGAACUGCGUCCGAUACUGGAUGGCUUGAAUUCGGGAGAGGGAUGCAGAAUUCCAGGUGUAGCGGUGAAAUGCGUAGAUAUCUGGAGGAAUACCGGUGGCGAAGGCGGCAUCCUGGACCGAGAUUGACACUGAUGAGCGAAAGCCAGGGGAGCAAACGGG
rnacentral:rRNA from 1 species